rnacentral:rRNA from 1 species
UUAGUGAAAUCGAGUAGGACGGGACACGUGAUAUCCUGUUUGAACAUGGGGGGACCAUCCUCCAAGGCUAAAUACUCCUGACUGACCGAUAGUGAACCAGUACCGUGAGGGAAAGGCGAAAAGAACCCCUGUGAGGGGAGUGAAAUAGAACCUGAAACCGUGUACGUACAAGCAGUAGGAGCCCACUUGUUGGGUGACUGCGUACCUUUUGUAUAAUGGGUCAGCGACUUAAUUUUAGUAGCAAGGUUAACCGUUUAGGGGAGCCGUAGGGAAACCGAGUCUUAACUGGGCGUCAUAGUUGCUAGGAUUAGACCCGAAACCGAGUGAUCUAGCCAUGGGCAGGUUGAAGGUGAGGUAACACUUACUGGAGGACCGAACCGACUAAUGUUGAAAAAUUAGCGGAUGACUUGUGGCUAGGGGUGAAAGGCCAAUCAAACUCGGAGAUAGCUGGUUCUCCCCGAAAGCUAUUUAGGUAGCGCCUCGGACGAAUACUACUGGGGGUAGAGCACUGUUAAGGCUAGGGGGUCAUCCCGACUUACCAACCCUUUGCAAACUCCGAAUACCAGUAAGUAAUAUCCGGGAGACACACGGCGGGUGCUAACGUCCGUCGUGAAGAGGGAAACAACCCAGACCGCCAGCUAAGGUCCCAAAGUUAUAGCUAAGUGGGAAACGAUGUGGGAAGGCUCAGACAGCCAGGAUGUUGGCUUAGAAGCAGCCAUCAUUUAAAGAAAGCGUAAUAGCUCACUGGUCGAGUCGGCCUGCGCGGAAGAUUUAACGGGGCUAAGCUAUACACCGAAGCUGCGGCAAUGUGAAUUUAUUCACAUUGGGUAGGGGAGCGUUCUGUAAGCCGUUGAAGGUGCAUUGUAAAGUGUGCUGGAGGUAUCAGAAGUGCGAAUGCUGACAUGAGUAACGAUAAAGGGAGUGAAAAACUCCCUCGCCGGAAG